GCCUCCGUGGUCUAGUGGUUGAGCGCUGGACUUACGUUCCGGAGGUCCCGGGUUCGAAUCCCGGUGGAGACA
rnacentral:tRNA from 1 species